CAAACCUGUCCUGGUCCAUGCACAGAUGUUUGAGAAAUACACAGAUGAUUGUCAAAAACCUGAAGAUCAUAAAUAGUGCCAAAAGACAUGCCACAUCUAAAGGACUUCAAUGUCUCUGGAACAGUCUAUAGCUUCUUGGAGCUACAAAUGAAAGUUGGAUGACAAGUGGACACCAAAGUGCCUGAGCAGCAAUGAAAAUGGUUCUUCAACCCUUUGCAUCAAAGCUGCUAGCCCUUCCUGAACACCCCUAGAAACCUAAGGGGAGCAGUUGGCAACUGGGAAUCCAACCUGACCCUGAAAUUAAAAGAUGGGAGAAGGAGAC
rnacentral:lncRNA from 1 species